AUUGAACGCUGGCGGCAGGCCUAACACAUGCAAGUCGAGCGAGCGGCGGACGGGUGAGGAAUGUAUGGGGACCGCCCGAUAGAGGGGGAUAACUACGGGAAACGGUGGCUAAUACCGCAUACUGGCGGAUUACCGAGAUGGGAUUAGCUAGUAGGUAAGGUAAUGGCUUACCUAGGCGACGAUCCCUAGCUGGUCUGAGAGGAUGAUCAGCCACACUGGGACUGAGACACGGCCCAGACUCCUACGGAGGCAGCAGUGGGGAAUAUUGCGCAAUGGGCGCAAGCCUGAUGCAGCAAUGCCGCGUGUGUGAAGAAGGCCCUAGGUUUGUAAAAUACUUUCAGUCGGGAGGCGUUACCGACAGAGAAAGCCCCGGCUAACUCCGUGCCAGCAGCCGCGGUAAUUC
rnacentral:rRNA from 1 species